rnacentral:rRNA from 1 species
AGUCGAACGAGAGGACAAGAGAAGCUUGCUUCUUUUGGAAUCGAGUGGCAAACGGGUGAGUAACACGUAAACAACCUGCCUUCAGGAUGGGGACAACAGACGGAAACGACUGCUAAUACCGAAUACGCUUGGGAGACCGCAUGAUCUUCCAAGGAAAGGGUGGCCUCUACCUGUAAGCUAUCGCCUGAAGAGGGGUUUGCGUCUGAUUAGGCAGUUGGCGAGGUAACGGCCCACCAAACCUACGAUCAGUAGCCGGUCUGAGAGGAUGAACGGCCACACUGGAACUGAGACACGGUCCAGACUCCUACGGGAGGCAGCAAUGGGGAAUCUUCCGCAAUGGGCGAAAGCCUGACGGAGCAACGCCGCGUGAGUGAUGACGGCCUUCGGGUUGUAAAGCUCUGUGAUCGGGGACGAACGGUCCGUAAGUCAAUACCUUAUGGAAGUGACGGUACCCGAAUAGCAAGCCACGGCUAACUACGUGCCAGCAGCCGCGGUAAUACGUAGGUGGCAAGCGUUGUCCGGAAUUAUUGGGCGUAAAGCGCGCGCAGGCGGCUUUCUAAGUCCAUCUUAAAAGUGCGGGGCUUAACCCCGUGAUGGGAUGGAAACUGGAAAGCUGGAGUAUCGGAGAGGAAAGUGGA